UACGGAGGGUGCAAGCGUUAUCCGGAUUCACUGGGUUUAAAGGGUGCGUAGGUGGGUUGGUAAGUCAGUGGUGAAAUCUCCGAGCUUAACUUGGAAACUGCCAUUGAUACUAUCAGUCUUGAAUACCGUGGAGAUGAGCGGAAUAUGUCAUGUAGCGGUGAAAUGCUUAGAAUAUGACAUAGAACACCAAUUGCGAAGGCAGCUCGUUACACGAAUAUGACACUCAGGCACGAAAGCGUGGGGAUCAAACAGG
rnacentral:rRNA from 1 species